UGAACCGGUGAAAGGGUAUGUGCCAC
rnacentral:sRNA from 1 species